UACGUAGGUGGCAAGCGUUGUCCGGAUUUACUGGGCGUAAAGAGCGCGCAGGCGGUCGUUCAAGUCGCGUGUGAAAGCCCCCGGCUCAACUGGGGAGGGUCACGCGAUACUGAUCGACUCGAAGGCAGGAGAGGGUAGUGGAAUUCCCGGUGUAGUGGUGAAAUGCGUAGAUAUCGGGAGGAACACCAGUGGCGAAGGCGACUACCUGGCCUGUUUCUUGACGCUGAGGCGCGAAAGCUAGGGUAGCGAACGGG
rnacentral:rRNA from 1 species